GCAACGCUUCACCAAAAGGAAGAAGAAGAACAACAACAAGAUUUUACUGAGCUACAACGUAAAGAAAUUAAAAUCAUUAUAAUAUGACAGACUUUGGAGGAGAUUCUGGUGGACGGCUAAAGGGCGUAACUAUAGUCAAACCCAUUGUAUACGGGAACAUAGCAAGAUCCUUCGGUAAGAAACGGGAGGAGGACGGACACACACAUCAGUGGAAGGUCUAUUUGAAGCCCUACUUCAAUGAGGACAUGUCCAUUUAUGUGAAAAAGGUGCACUUUAAGCUGCACGAAAGUUACGCCAAUCCGAACAGGAUCGUUGUGAAGCCGCCCUACGAGAUCACGGAGACGGGUUGGGGCGAAUUCGAAGUGGUAAUCAAAAUCUACUUCAACGAUCAGUCGGAACGCCCAGUUACGUGCUACCACAUCCUGAAGCUCUUUCAGUCGCCCGUCGUUGAUGGCGAGCUCACUUCCAGCACCACUAUGGACACCAAGAAGGGUCUGGUCUCGGAGUCCUACGAGGAGAUCGUCUUCCAAGAGCCCACACAGAUCAUGCAGCAUUUUCUGUUGCUCUCAGAACAGAGCGCCAAUGGGCUUUUAUCCCAUGACACUGACUUUGAGGAAAAAAAAACGAAAACGCUGGACAACAUUGUCAAUGUGAAACAGAAGGUCAAAGGGGAGAUCGUUACACUUAAGGACAAACUAAAGCUGGCACGUGAGACCAUAUCUAAAUUUAAGGCAGAAUUGGCCAAGGUGCAAAAGCAACCUGCGUAAUAUAUACAUAUGUACACCGUUUCUGCUGAAAAGCUAUUGAAACAUUUUAGAAAUCAAUUUCAUUGGUUUUAAGAACCUAUGUUACAUUUUGCGAUAUAUCGAUGACUAUCGAUGUGAAAAGUUAUGGAUUAGCUGAAGCUUUCUGUUCUGAAUAUACAAUACCGUUUUUCUUAAUAUCAAGAUGACUUAAAUGAUGAGUGCCUGCUUCAAAUUAUAGAGUAUCUGGAGCUCGAAGAACAACUUAUUCUAUGGCAGGCUACUGAGUCCUUUUCACGUUUAAAUAAGGUUGUUUCAAGCUUUUGGCAGAACCAAAACAAACACUCUUUACAUUGGAAAACAUUUAAAAAUAAGGCGGUACUUCUUUAUAACUUUCUGGAGUGCAUCAGUUCUACGAUAGUGAACGUAACUCUCGAAGAUUUUCCCAUAGAUCAGCUGUAUGUUUUCAGAAGUCAUUGUUUUCCGAUGGCUCGGAUUCUGGACUAUUCGGUAAAAAAAUCCGAUGUUGACGAUGAUAUAGAGAGUCUGGUAAAUUGCUUUCCCCUCAUAGAGUCCUUUAAAGCCAGAAUUGAAGGUAAGGACCAUACCUUUGAAAUACUAAACGGCCAUCAUGUCGCCAGAUGGAAGCACCUUCGAAGACUGGACAUAAUUGGUGCUUCCAGACACUGGAAAACAAAAUGUUUUCAAAAAAUAUGCCAGAUAUUGCCCCUACAGUUUUUGAGCGUCGCGUGGAGAGAAUCGGAGGAAGACGACUAUGUGGAGGCUAUAUUAAAAUUACAGGAACUUGAAGAACUGCAACUGGAGCUCAAUCUCGUCAGUAGGGAAAAUACAAACAAGCUAUUGACUUUGCCAAAGUUGCGAAAACUUCGCAUUGAUGAAUUUAAAGACGUGGAGAAUUUUUUGGAUAGCAUAGUCGAAAUGCGGAGACAGGAUGUUGUGGCACUCACCUGCAACGAGAACUUUUGGCUCUGGCUUACUCCCAACCGCUUUCAAAAUGUGCGAAAAGUUUCCAUAAUUAAUGAAGGAGUGGUGGAUGGACUAUGGUGUGCACAAAGUUUUAAAAACGCUAUUAACGAAUUUCCAAGAUUAACAGAAUUGUAUUUGGAGAACAUAACCAUUUGGGAGACUGGUGAUGCAUUUUGGGACAUGGUAUACUCCUGUCCUCAACUCCAACUUUUACAAUUGCAAAACCACGAGGUAGAGGAUGGAUUCUUAGAGUUCAGUGCGUCGACUAUGAACAAGGCUUUAUAUCAGCGCAAAAAGCGUUUGGUCAUACAUUUUUCUAAAACUUGUCAGAAGGAUUUGAUUUUGCAGCUUUAUAAUCAUUCCAUGCUAAAGAUUUUAUUUAAAGUCAUCAAGGAUGCUUAUCCAAAUUUGAUUGGUGGCCUUCUAGAACUGGAAUUUACGACUAGAAAGGUUUUGUAAGCAAACAAAUUAUAUAUACAUUUUAUAAAAUAAUUAAAUUGAACUCUAAAUUAA